AUUGAACGCUGGCGGCAUGCCUUACACAUGCAAGUCGAACGGCAGCACGGGAGCAAUCCUGGUGGCGAGUGGCGAACGGGUGAGUAAUAUAUCGGAACGUGCCCAGUCGUGGGGGAUAACGUAGCGAAAGCUACGCUAAUACCGCAUACGAUCUAUGGAUGAAAGCGGGGGAUCGCAAGACCUCGCGCGAUUGGAGCGGCCGAUAUCAGAUUAGGUAGUUGGUGAGGUAAAGGCUCACCAAGCCGACGAUCUGUAGCUGGUCUGAGAGGACGACCAGCCACACUGGGACUGAGACACGGGCCCAGACUCCUACGGGAGGCAGCAGUGGGGAAUUUUGGACAAUGGCGCAAGCCUGAUCCAGCAAUGCGCGUGCAGGAU
rnacentral:rRNA from 1 species